UAAUUAAUUAAUUAAGGGCGCCCCCAACACAUAGGUCGCCUAUGCCGAGUGCCAGCGGCAAAAAUUAGACAUUAGAAUAGCCUAUAUAGCCUGCGUGCACCUACCCGAUGUCAGGAAGCCAUCGCUGCUCCGACGGACCUUUCUCCCCCAGCCAGGCAACGGCAAUUAACUACAGCCGCCCUUCCUGGGUAACGCCACCACCAAUCCCUGGUCAUCCAUUGAAGCCAUCUCUCUCACUCUGUACAGUCACACUGUUGCCGCUUCAUUCUCAUUGUCUCAUAAUCUCAUUAUUAAGACUGCUAA